UACGUAGGGUGCGAGCGUUUAAUCGGAAUUACUGGGCGUAAAGCGUGCGCAGGCGGUUCGCUGUGUCCGAUGUGAAAGCCCCGGGCUUAACCUGGGAAUGGCAUUGGAAACUGGCGAGCUGGAGUGUGGCAGAGGGGGGUGGAAUUCCGCGUGUAGCAGUGAAAUGCGUAGAGAUGUGGAGGAACACCGAUGGCGAAGGCAGCCCCCUGGGUCAAGAUUGACGCUCAUGCACGAAAGCGUGGGGAGCAAACAGG
rnacentral:rRNA from 1 species